UACGUAGGGGCCUAGCGUUGUCCGGAUUUAUUGGGCGUAAAGAGCUCGUAGGCGGUCCGUUAAGUCGGAAGUGAAAUCUCAAGGCUCAACCUUGAAAUCGCUUUCGAUACUGGCGGACUUGAGGCAGGUAGGGGAAGGUGGAAUUCCUGGUGUAGCGGUGAAAUGCGCAGAUAUCAGGAGGAACACCGGUGGCGAAGGCGGGUCUCUGGGCCGAUACUGACGCUGAGGAGCGAAAGCGUGGGGAGCGAACAGG
rnacentral:rRNA from 1 species